rnacentral:rRNA from 1 species
GAAUUCAGUAGUGAUUCAGGCCUGACACAUGCAAGUCGAACGGCAGCACGGAGCUUGCUCUGGUGGCGAGUGGCGAACGGGUGAGUAAUAUAUCGGAACGUACCCUGGAGUGGGGGAUAACGUAGCGAAAGUCACGCUAAUGCCGCAUACGAUCUACGGAUGAAAGUGGGGGAUCGCAAGACCUCAUGCUCGUGGAGCGGCCGAUAUCUGAUUAGCUAGUUGGUAGGGUAAAAGCCUACCAAGGCAUCGAUCAGUAGCUGGUCUGAGAGGACGACCAGCCACACUGGAACUGAGACACGGUCCAGACUCCUACGGGAGGCAGCAGUGGGGAAUUUUGGACAAUGGGCGAAAGCCUGAUCCAGAAAGGCCGCGUGAGG